GACGACGCUGGCGGCGUGGAUUAGGCAUGCAAGUCGAACGGUAUCAUCCUUUCGGGGGUGAGAGAGUGGCGAACUGGUGAGUAACACGUAGGUUAUCUACCCUCAAGACGGGGACAACCCAGGGAAACUUGGGCUAAUACCGGAUGUGAGCAACUUUUAGUGUUUGAAAGGUGGCGUAAGCUGUCGCUUGGGGAUGAGCCUGCGUCCUAUUAGUUAGUUGGUGAGGUAACGGCUCACCUAGGCAAUGAUAGGUAGGCGGCCUUAACGGGUGGCCGCCCACACUGGGAUUGAGAUACGGCCCAGACUCCUACGGGAGGCAGCAGUCGAGAAUAGUCUACAAUGGUCGGAAGACUGAUAGUGCGACGCCGCGUGAACGAUGAAUCCCUUCGGGGUGUAAAGUUCUUUUAUAUGUGAGCAGUGCUUCUUAUAUUAACAGUAUGGGGAGAGAGAUAUUAGCAUAUGAAUAAGCAACGGCUAACUCCGUG
rnacentral:rRNA from 1 species